AUCAAGUAAAGCAAGACAGAGAUUGAAGAAGAUUGAGAAGUGCAAUAUGUUCUGAAGCAAUACCUCCCUCUUGUUCUUACAUUUGUUUGGUUGCUCUCGACAUCCAGUCGUCGACUCUCAGAAGUGUCGAAGCACCGACUCUGCUUCCAUUCGGGUCAAGGGCUCCUCGCCGACUCUCGACAAAGCACUUGAUGACUCGUUACUCUGCUCGGCUCGUGCAACCACCAGCGGCAUCUGAAAAGAGCUCGGGAAAUUGGCUUGUAACAGUCGACAACUUGAGAUUAUCUUCUCAAGCCACUGUAACGGUAAGUCACCCUGUGCAUUUGGCACAAACUCAAAAGUAUGAAACAGAAUUUCUGAAACGAUCACAAAGAUUGUAACAUGUUUACAUCCAACAAGAACUGUUCAAUCUAGGAAGAUGACAAAAGAUCUAGCGCUUCUCAUUCAUGGAUCCCGCAUCACUCGAGAAAAGUAUCUGAUCACCCAAGAGUUUAUUGAUGCGGUGACAUCUAAGCUGAGAGCUAGGUUUUCUUCGUAAAUCCCUUUGCAGCCAACAUAGUUAUUCACUCUGCCAUGAGGCUGAAUUUGCAAGUUCCUGAAACUAGGAGUUGGUGAAGGUUCGCUACUUAGUUACUUUAAA